rnacentral:rRNA from 1 species
UACGGGGUGGGCAAGCGUUGUUCGGAAUUACUGGGCGUAAAGGGUUCGUAGGUGGCCUGCUAAGUCAGACGUGAAAUCCCUCAGCUUAACUGGGGAACUGCGUCUGAGACUGGUGGGCUUGAGUGCAGGAGAGGAACGCGGAAUUCCAGGUGUAGCGGUGAAAUGCGCAGAUAUCAGGAGGAACACCGGUGGCGAAGGCGGUUCUCUGGGCAUGACCUGACGCUGAGGAGCGAAAGUGUGGGGAGCGAACAGG